UGAGCAAUCUGCCCUUCACAUCGGAAUAACCAUUGGAAACGAUGGCUAAUACCGAAUAUGACUUCGGAUCGCAUGAUCGGAGGUGGAAAGCUCCGGCGGAGAAGGAUGAGCUCGCGGCCUAUCAGCUAGUUGGUGUGGGUAAUGGCCCACAAGGCGACGACGGGUAGCCGGCCUGAGAGGGUGACCCGGCCACACGUGGGACUGAGACACCGGCCCAGACCUCGUACGGGA
rnacentral:rRNA from 1 species